CCCAUGAUGAAAGAUUUCAAAGGCAAUAGCCAUUGCUCCAAAAUAGCCGGGUUAAUAUUUGCAGAGUGGUUCAGCUCCUUUCUCUCUCCUGCCUCUCAAAAAGAUGCUAUUCCUGUGAUUAAAACCAUUACAGUGCUUCAAAGGUUAUACAUGACUUUCAGGCUUCAACCUCAAUAGAAGCAGAUGGUACUAAUUUGAACACAUCAUUCCAUGCUUCCUGGAGUAAUCACACAGCUUGCUUAGAUUUUCUAAACAUGACUGAACUGUGAUGAAGCGAUCAACAUUAACUGCCAAGACUCCACAUAGCAAUGAUGUGCUGGCCACCCACUGGGAAAACACCUGUCACCCCUUGAUGGACCUUUCUGACACUGUUUGCCUGUCCUCAAAAGUUCCUGAAAUAUUUACCAGUCAGCAUCUUGGAAAAAACAAAUAAUGGGGCCUUCUCAGAGUGAGGAAGCUUCCUGGAGGGUCAUCAGGACACUACAGAAGAGCUAAUCCAACAUGGAUCUCUAAAACUAUGCAAUUAAGACGAGUGUGGUGGCUCACACCUGUAAUGCCGGCACUUCGGGAGACCAAGGCGGUUGGAUCACUUGAGACCAGGAGUUUAAGGUCAGCCUGGGCAACAUGGCAAAACCCUGUCUCCACUAAAAAUAAAAAAAUUAGCCCUGCGUGGUGGGCAGACCUGUGGUCCCAGCUUUCAGGAGGCUGAGGCACGAGAAUUGCUUGAGCUCAGGAGGCGGAGGCUGAAGUGAGCCAAUAUCGGCAACUGCACUCCAGCCUGGGCAACAGAGCAAGACUGUGUCUCAAAAAAAUAAAUAAAAUAAAAUAAAUAAAAUAAAAUAAAGCUAUGCUAUUAGCUCAAGUAAUCUAAUUGCAUUACAUCAAUUUUAAAAAUUAUUUUCAAAAAUGUAUUUCAAUGUUAUCUGCUACCUUGCAUCACUACCUUCUUGCCCUGAUUUUCACAGCAAAAUCUUGUACAUAAGUAUCUACCAACUGUAAAAAAAAAGCCUCAGAUUAUGUUCCAUAGAUAAUGCAGAAUCAAGGCAAUUACCUGGAAAUGGAUAUCAAAAAUAAAUUUUUAUCUCAAAUAGAUAUUUUAGUAAAAAGAAGCUUGUUGUUAUAAAUUAUGUUAAUAAAAACAUAGUAGUUCACUUCAGUUUGCAUAUAUAUAGUUUCAACAUCUAGCUUGGUUUACUCCCAAGAGACAAAAUUAAGCUAAAAAAAUUUUUUUCAGAUGCCUCAUCUGUUUAGGGUUUAUUUUUCUUUUGCAGUUUAGGAUUGUGGCUGAUAUUUUAAUAAAUAAGUUAGAAAAAUAGGGUAGCAUGAAUAUUAAUUAAAACAAUUCAGAAUAUAUCAAAUAUGUAAGAGGUUAUUUGCUAUAAAACUGAUAACUAAAAGAAAGAGAAAGGAGACAGAAUUGAACUGUCACCAAGGCUCGAACUCCAUUUUCCUAGUAGCUGUUACCGAAUUGCAGAUAACACAUAAAUCUCUGUGCUGAAGUGUGAGCUCUCUAAUCAAAGGAGCAAUCUUCUGAGCAAUCCUGAAGCUCAAAGUGUUCACUCCCUUUGAGCAAACCCUGUGUAGGAAAUUCGUAUGUAGGAAAUUCAUUUUUGACACUGCUAUAAUAAGUUGUUACUCUUGCUUUCAGCUGGCUUAGUUUUAAAAUCUGUUUUAUUCUUAUUAGCUUAAAAAUAUUAUAAUUAUUAUGUGUUCCAUUAUGUUUUAUUUUCAUUUAUAAAAAAGCAUAUGUUCUAUAUCCUGAUUUUUUUCUCUUAUCAUGUUAACACCAAUGAUCUAUAUCAUAAUGUUUUUGUAGUUGCAUAAUUUGGAUAUAUCAUAGUUAUUUAGUCAUUCUAUGAGUUAACUUUCAGGCUUUUUCUCUUUUUUAUUUCUUUAGCUAUUAUUAACAAUG
rnacentral:lncRNA from 1 species